GCCAAACAGCUAGCUCACCCACCAGAAUAAUUAAACAGUAUAAAUAAAAUAAAAUAAGCCAAAUACCAAAAAAUAAACCAUUCUUUUACCUGAGUAUGGGAGACAGAAAAGGUUCAAUUUAAAGCAAUAGAAACAGUACCGCAAGGGAAAGCUGAAAGAGAAAUGAAAUAAUUCAUAUAAGCACCAAAAAGCAAAGACUAAACCUUGUACCUUUUGCAUCAUGAUUUAGCCAGUAAAUACAAGCAAAGAGACCUUUAGUUUGAAACCCCGAAACCAGGUGAGCUACCCCGAGACAGCCUACUAGGGCCAACCCGUCUCUGUGGCAAAAGAGUGGGAAGAUCUCCGGGUAGAAGUGACAGACCUACCGAACCUGGUGAUAGCUGGUUGCCUAAGAAAUGAAUAAAAGUUCAGCCUCGCCACACCUCAAAUUCAAACAAACACAUUAUACCAGAAUAUAAGAGAAAGACACGAGGAGUUAGUAAAGGGGUACAGCCCCUUUUAGCAAAGGAUACAACUUAUCAGGGAAGAUAAAGAUCAUAAUAUAUAAAACAUACUGUUCUAGUGGGCCUAAAAGCAGCCACCUAAGCAGAAAGCGUUAAAGCUCGGACAGAAAAAAGUUUAUUAUUCAGAUAAAAAAUCUCACUCCCCUAAACACUAUUAGACUAACCCAUGCCCACAUGGAAGAAAUUAUGCUAAAAUGAGUAACAAGAAGACCCACUCUUCUCCUAGCACAAGUGUAAGCCAAAUCGGACCAACCAUUGGCAACUAACGAACCCAACCCAAGAGAGCAAUGUGAUUUACAAAAAAAUCAAGAAAAACCCACAAUUCAACAAUCGUUACCCCCACACUGGAGUGCCCCGAUAGGAAAGACUAAAAGAAAAGGAAGGAACUCGGCAAACACAAGCCCCGCCUGUUUACCAAAAACAUCGCCUCCUGCAAUACACCACACAUAGGAGGUCCAGCCUGCCCAGUGACUACAAGUUCAACGGCCGCGGUAUUCUGACCGUGCAAAGGUAGCGCAAUCACUUGUCUCUUAAAUAGAGACCUGUAUGAAUGGCCAAACGAAGGCUUAACUGUCUCCCCUUUCAAGUCAGUGAAAUUGAUCUAUCCGUGCAGAAGCGGGUAUAAUAAUACAAGACGAGAAGACCCUUUGGAGCUUAAGGUACAAAAUUUAACCACGUCAAGCAACUUAAUAAAAAGUAAAAACUUUGUAGGACAUAAAAAUUUACCUUCGGUUGGGGCGACCACGGAGAAAAACAAAACCUCCAAGUGGACUGGGAUAAUUUUCCUAAAACCAAGAGAGACAUCUCUAAGCCACAGAACAUCUGACCAAGCAUGAUCCGGCCAUAAAAGCCGAUCAACGAACCAAGUUACCCUAGGGAUAACAGCGCAAUCCUCUCCCAGAGCCCAUAUCGACGAGGGGGUUUACGACCUCGAUGUUGGAUCAGGACAUCCUAAUGGUGCAGCCGCUAUUAAGGUUCGUUUGUUCAACGAUUAAAGUCCUACGUGAUCUGAGUUCAGACCGGAGUAAUCCAGGUCAGUUUCUAUCUGUAACGCUACUUUUCCUAGUACGAAAGGAUCGGAAAAGAGGGGCCCAUGCUUAAAGUACGCCCCACCCCUAAUUUAUGAAAACAAAUAAAUAAAAUAAAGGGAGGGCCAAAACCCCAGCCGGCCAAAAUAAGGACAC
rnacentral:rRNA from 1 species